rnacentral:lncRNA from 1 species
AUCCUUUCAAACCCCUGCACUCUCCCUCAUUCUCUUCUCCGGCAAUCACAGCAACGCCGGCGUUGACUGAUGUUUUUCGCAGCCGUUUAAAGAGAAUCCCUUCGAAUCAGGUCCAUAAAUCCCGUCCAUAAAUCCCAGACGAAACAGCAUCGAUCCCGUCCAUAAAUCCCAGACGAAACAGCAUAAAUCCCGUCCAUAAAUCCCAGACGAAACAGCAUAAAUCCCUUCGAAUCAGGCUUCGACGGUGGUCUAGAUCUGAUGUUUUUCGCAGCCGUUUUAUCGCCGGAAUCGAAGCCAGAUCUGAUGUUUAUCACUGGAAUCGAAGAAAUCAGGGUAAUUUUCGACGGAUCUGAUGUUUGUCGCCGGAAUUGAAGCCAAAUCUGAUGUUUAUCGCCGGCGAUAAAACGGUGGAGACGUCGUAAACGAGGAAAGUGGAGAUGGAACGUCGAUAAGGAUGAUUCACGUAUGAGGUCGAUAAGGAUGAUUCACGUAUGUUUGUUUUGCUUGGUCGAUAAGGAUGAUUCAACAUACAACGCGGCGAAUAGUUGUAAAAGACUAUGUCUUUUUUAUUUUUCCGAUUAUGUUGCGUUU